UUGAUCCUGCCAGUAGUCAUAUGCUUGUCUCAAAGAUUAAGCCAUGCAUGUCUCAGUACAAGCCACAUUAAGGUGAAACCGCGAAAGGCUCAUUAAAUCAGUUAUGGUUCCUUAGAUCGUACCCACAUUUACUUGGAUAACUGUGGUAAUUCUAGAGCUAAUACAUGCAAACAGAGUUCCGACCGGAGACGGGAGGAAUGCUUUUAUUAGAUCAAAACCAAUCGGCGGCGGGUGCGUUCGCGCGCGCGUUCGCCGCUCAACCUGGUGACUCUGAAUAACUUUCGGCUGAUCGCACGGUCCAGCACCGGCGACGCAUCUUUCAAAUGUCUGCCUUAUCAACUGUCGAUGGUAGGUUCUGCGCCUACCAUGGUCGUAACGGGUAACGGGGAAUCAGGGUUCGAUUCCGGAGAGGGAGCCUGAGAAACGGCUACCACAUCCAAGGAAGGCAGCAGGCGCGCAAAUUACCCACUCCCGGCACGGGGAGGUAGU
rnacentral:rRNA from 1 species